GCCGAAGUGGCGAAAUUGGUAGACGCGCUGGACUCAAAAUCCAGUCUGGCUUAAACCAGGUGCCGGUUCGAGUCCGGCCUUCGGUACUA
rnacentral:tRNA from 1 species